rnacentral:lncRNA from 1 species
CUGAUAACUCGGCCAACCUCUAUGGGACUCUGUAUCCCAAAAUAUUAGUUUUGGUCAUGAGUGACACACUAAAGACAUUGAGUUCACUCUUUCUACAUUUUCCCCAAUAUCUUUCAACACUGACUUGCACUAAACAUGACUUCCCUUUAUCUGCCCCCACGUAUGUCUAAGCUCGCUUUGGAAACAAUGCCGCUAAUCAAAAAUACAUUUCCUAGACCACCAAGGUUAUUGAAAAAUGAUACGUUCCCUUCAGUACGGAAUUAAUGCAUUCUACUAGGUUUGUUGUCAUGUGCCCGUAUCGUAGUCCUUU